AUUGAACGCUGGCGGCAUGCCUUACACAUGCAAGUCGAACGGCAGCACGGGAGCAAUCCUGGUGGCGAGUGGCGAACGGGUGAGUAAAGUAUCGGAACGUGCCCAGUCGUGGGGGAUAACGCAGCGAAAGCUGUGCUAAUACCGCAUACGAUCUAGGGAUGAAAGCGGGGGAUCGCAAGACCUCGCGCGAUUGGAGCGGCCGAUAUCAGAUUAGCUAGUUGGUGAGGUAAAGGCUCACCAAGGCGACGAUCUGGAGCUGGUCUGAGAGGACGACCAGCCACACUGGAACUGAGACACGGUCCAGACUCCUACGGGAGGCAGCAGUGGGGAAUUUUGGACAAUGGGCGCAAGCCUGAUCCAGCAAUGCCGCGUGCAGGAUGAAGGCCUUCGGGUUGAAAACUGCUUUUGUACGGAGCGAAAAGGCUCUCUCUAAUACAGGGGGCUCAUGACGGUACCGUAAGAAUAAGCACCGGCUAACUACGUGCCAGCCGCCGCCGUAA
rnacentral:rRNA from 1 species